UUAAGUAGACCGCCUGGGGAGUACGGCCGCAAGGUUAAAACUCAAAUGAAUUGACGGGGGCCCGCACAAGCGGUGGAGCAUGUGGUUUAAUUCGAUGCAACGCGAAGAACCUUACCUGGUCUUGACAUCCACGGAAGUUUUCAGAGAUGAGAAUGUGCCUUCGGGAACCGUGAGACAGGUGCUGCAUGGCUGUCGUCAGCUCGUGUUGUGAAAUGUUGGGUUAAGUCCCGCAACGAGCGCAACCCUUAUCCUUUGUUGCCAGCGAUUAGGUCGGGAACUCAAAGGAGACUGCCAGUGAUAAACUGGAGGAAGGUGGGGAUGACGUCAAGUCAUCAUGGCCCUUACGACCAGGGCUACACACGUGCUACAAUGGCGCAUACAAAGAGAAGCGACCUCGCGAGAGCAAGCGGACCUCAUAAAGUGCGUCGUAGUCCGGAUUGGAGUCUGCAACUCGACUCCAUGAAGUCGGAAUCGCUAGUAAUCGUGGAUCAGAAUGCCACGGUGAAUACGUUCCCGGGCCUUGUACACACCGCCCGUCACACCAUGGGAGUGGGUUGCAAAAGAAGUAGGUAGCUUAACCUUCGGGAGGGCGCUUACCACUUUGUGAUUCAUGACUGGGGUGAAGUCGUAACAAGGUAACCGUAGGGGAACCUGC
rnacentral:rRNA from 1 species